GGACUACCGGGGUUUCUAAUCCCGUUUGCUCCCCUAGCUUUCGCGCCUCAGCGUCAGUGUCGGUCCAGGAAGCCGCCUUCGCCACCGGUGUUCCUCCGGAUAUCUACGCAUUUCACCGCUACACCCGGAAUUCCGCUUCCCUCUCCCGAUCUCAAGCCAAGCAGUUUCCCGUGCGAUUCCUCAGUUGAGCCGAGGGAUUUCACACAGGACUUGCAAGACCGCCUACGCGCCCUUUACGCCCAGUAAUUCCGAACAACGCUUGCCACCUCUGUAUUACCGCGGCUGCUGGCAC
rnacentral:rRNA from 1 species